rnacentral:tRNA from 1 species
GCCCGGGUGGUGGAAUCGGUAGACACAGGAGACUUAAAAUCUCCCGGGAUAAUAUCCCGUGCCGGUUCAAGUCCGGCCCCGGGCACCA